UUCUGCUCUUAUGUUGUUGUUGUUUUACAGUAUCCCAAUAAGCUAAACGCUGCUCCCGCUCUUUUGCACACAGUUUACAGUUGCUUUAAUCAGCUGAUCUUUUUACGCGUGCUUAUAAGAAUUAUAAAAAUCGUAAUUUGUGAAAAAUGUACUUAAACGGGUCCGGAUCGCGUAUAAAUGAAAUGAAAUUAGUGCGUAAUUAAUUGGUGUAUACGUAUAUCCGGUGUGCGUUUGAUCUUGUUUGUUAAUCGAUUGAAUAAAGACAUACUUAACUCUCUUCUAAUUAGAUAUUAAAUUUAUAACACUCUGUGCCUUAGUGAAAAUCGCGUAAACCUACACGAAUUGAAAAGAUUGUGCAAUGUUCGCAUUUCCCUUUAUAAGCUAGCUCGCAAGAAGGUUAUGAUAAAUUGUCCAUCCGAUUACCAGAUUCAUAUAUUCGUCGUAUAUCAGCCUUUGCUUUCUAUGCAAAAAUCAUUAUCCCAAUAAGCUAAACGCUGCUCCCGCUCUUUUGCACACAGUUUACAGUUGCUUUAAUCAGCUGAUCUUUUUACGCGUGCUUAUAAGAAUUAUAAAAAUCGUAAUUUGUGAAAAAUGUACUUAAACGGGUCCGGAUCGCGUAUAAGUGUAAUGAAAUUAGUGCAUAAUUAAUUGGUGUAUAUAUAUAUCCUGUGUGUGUUUGAUCUUUUUUGAUAAUCGAUUGAAAGAACGCGACAUACUCAUAUUCUAAUUGGAUAUUAAGUGUGUAAUAAUCUGUGCGUUAGUGAAAAUCGCGUAAACCUACGAAACAUAUACAUAAAUCUACUUUCUCCGCUUCAUUUACAAAUUGAAAAGAUUAUAUUGAGAUUAUGCAAUGUCCGCCCGUCCAUCUGUACCCAAUUAAUUCGAGAUAAGCAACUCAACAAGUAGCAACACAUUAUAAAUACAUAAAAAAACAACGAACCGCAGCAGGUUAGUGCUUGGUCAAAACAGCUCCCAGUCGAAGACGCCAUCGGCAACGAUAGGAUGCACAUUGACGACACGUUGCCAAGAAAAUUACUCGUAUUAAAUGAAGCAGCAGAGAAUUUCUUUAUAAACAUGACGCGCGUCGCUCGAUGGCACCAUAAACCGGACGAUAACCCGAGUGCGCCUGCGCCCCACGCUGACCCCCAGGGCCCCGGAGACCUGUAGCCCCCAAAAAAAUAUCAUAUGCAAAAUGGGCAAGGCGGACAAACUUAAUAGCUGUUAGGCUGCAGUCGGGCACUGGGCCCCCAGCCGGAGACAAGCAGACCACAGAAGAAAAAAAAAAAUAAACAAAAAGUGCAACACGCCGCCGGCGGCGUGCAUGGCCUGUGGUUGCACGGAUGUGUUGGAUGCACGCCCCCCACAUGCACAAGGGAGCGCAUACCACGUCUCCGUCAGAGAGUCGAAGCUGCAAUCUUCUUCUUCAGAGCGCUCGCUCGUGUGUCGUCAACCUGUAAAAUGUAUAACGACAACAUUAAGCUCGUGCCACCAGCUGAAGUUUAAUGGUUGGGGCACUUACCGCUGUGGCGACUUGUCGACUGUGCCAAUGUUGCAACAUCAUCUACACAACGGUACACAACUUCGCUGCGCGGCAGGUUCAUGCCAGUUCAGGCACGCCGGCAACGGUUGAUCUGAUUCAAAAAGGGAGGCACAACACUCGCAUGUGUGUGUGUCGCUUUUCAUACCCUUUUGGAGAGUAUUACAACAUUGACACGAAAUGUGUAACGCCA